CGCUCAGAGCGAUUAGAGGGAAACCGCUCAGUGGCAAAACUAACCACUGAGUGGUCAAAGCGGCAAAAGGGAAACCGUUGAGCGGUGAACUUAGGCGCCUGGGCAUUUAUCUGUUUUUAUUAGCUAGAUUUUGUAAUCUUUCUGUUAUCUUUUUGGGCUUAUAUAUAGCCCCAGUGCGAAUCAAAAGGGGAUUCUUUUGGCAGAGAGAAACGUCCAGAGCUAUUCCACACA
rnacentral:lncRNA from 1 species